GUGGGGAAUCUUGCGCAAUGGGCGAAAGCCUGACGCAGCCAUGCCGCGUGAAUGAUGAAGGUCUUAGGAUUGUAAAAUUCUUUCACCGGGGACGAUAAUGACGGUACCCGGAGAAGAAGCCCCGGCUAACUUCGUGCCAGCAGCCGCGGUAAUACGAAGGGGGCUAGCGUUGCUCGGAAUUACUGGGCGUAAAGGGAGCGUAGGCGGAUAGUUCAGUCAGAGGUGAAAGCCCAGGGCUCAACCUUGGAAUUGCCUUUGAUACUGGCUGUCUUGAGUUUGGGAGAGGUGAGUGGAACUCCGAGUGUAGAGGUGAAAUUCGUAGAUAUUCGGAAGAACACCAGUGGCGAAGGCGACUCACUGGCCCAAUACUGACGCUGAGGCGCGAAAGCGUGGGGAGCAAACAGGAUUAGAUACCCCAGUAGUCC
rnacentral:rRNA from 1 species